rnacentral:rRNA from 1 species
GACGAACGCUGGCGGCGUGCUUAACACAUGCAAGUCGAACGGAAAGGCCCUGCUCUUGUGGGGUGCUCGAGUGGCGAACGGGUGAGUAACACGUGAGUAACCUGCCCUUGACUUUGGGAUAACUUCAGGGAACUGGGGAUACUACCGGCUAGGAGCUCCUGAUGCCUGGUGGGGGUUGGAAAGUUUCGGCGGUUGGGGAUGGACUCGGGGCUUAUCAGCUUGUUGGUGGGGUAGUGGCAGACCAAGCCUUUGACGGAUAGCCGGCCUGAGAGGGUGACCGGCCACAAUAGGCCUACGGGACGGCGCAGACGCCUACGGGGGGCAGCAGUGGCGAAUAUGGCACAGUGAGCGGAAGCCUGAGGCGACAACGCCGCGUGCGUGAUGACGGCCUUCGGGUGAUAAACCGCUUUCGCCUGUGACGAAGCGGGGGUGACGGUAAUGGGUAAAGAAGCACCGGCUAACUACGUG